CGCCAUCCUCAAUGUUCCUUUGGUGACUGACUCGACCCGCGGCAACUUCUGAACAGCUCGACUUUAGGACCAGCAAGUUCGAGCUCUUUUUGAACUUAGUUUUGUAGUGGCGAACCCAUUCCACAUCGACCCCCCAAAGACCCAAAUUGAUUCAGCGAGAUUUAGCAGGCUUGGUGCAGUCGAUGUCAAGGAUUUAGAAGUAAAUGUCUACCUAAUAUUGAAACUUUGACAACAAGACAUCAUGUGGGAGCGAGGGUUGAAGGAAGCAGAGUCGAGCGUUUCUAUAAUAUAUUAGCUACAUUUUGUAGUUUGACCUUUCACGUUUACACGGUCUUCCAAGAAGAGCCUGGAGAACCAUGGUAGGUAGCUACUUGGAAUAUCUAAAAGAUGACUGUUGGACAAUUUUUUGUUGGGUUAGUAAUUACUUGGUAUAGUUUGUUUAUGUAUGGGGUUGAUGGACAUGAAAAACCUUCGUUAAUGUAUAUAUAAUUUACUAUAUGUAUACACUUUAUAUUUGUAGGUGGGUUGGUGUACUAAUGGAUAUAUGUUUUUGUAUGUAAAA